AGCCAGACUCCUACGGGAGGCAGCAGUGGGGAAUAUUGCACAAUGGGGGAAACCCUGAUGCAGCGACGCCGCGUGAGUGAAGAAGUAUUUCGGUAUGUAAAGCUCUAUCAGCAGGGAAGAAAAUGACGGUACCUGACUAAGAAGCCCCGGCUAACUACGUGCCAGCAGCCGCGGUAAUACGUAGGGGGCAAGCGUUAUCCGGAUUUACUGGGUGUAAAGGGAGCGUAGACGGCAUGGCAAGUCAGAUGUGAAAGCCCGGGGCUCAACCCCGGGACUGCAUUUGAAACUGUCAGGCUGGAGUGCAGGAGAGGUAAGUGGAAUUCCUAGUGUAGCGGUGAAAUGCGUAGAUAUUAGGAGGAACACCAGUGGCGAAGGCGGCUUACUGGACUGUAACUGACGUUGAGGCUCGAAAGCGUGGGGAGCAAACAGGAUUAGAUACCCUCGUAC
rnacentral:rRNA from 1 species